CCUACGGGAGGCAGCAGUUAGGAAUAUUGGUCAAUGGACGAGAGUCUGAACCAGCCAAGUAGCGUGAAGGAUGACUGCCCUAUGGGUUGUAAACUUCUUUUAUAUGGGAAUAAAACGUUCCACGUGUGGGAUUUUGUAUGUACCAUAUGAAUAAGGAUCGGCUAACUCCGUGCCAGCAGCCGCGGUAAUACGGAGGAUCCGAGCGUUAUCCGGAUUUAUUGGGUUUAAAGGGAGCGUAGGUGGAUUGUUAAGUCAGUUGUGAAAGUUUGCGGCUCAACCGUAAAAUUGCAGUUGAAACUGGCAGUCUUGAGUACAGUAGAGGUGGGCGGAAUUCGUGGUGUAGCGGUGAAAUGCUUAGAUAUCACGAAGAACUCCGAUUGCGAAGGCAGUUCACUGGACUGCAACUGACACUGAGGCUCGAAAGUGUGGGUAUCAAACAGGAUUAGAUACCCCUGUAGUC
rnacentral:rRNA from 1 species